rnacentral:lncRNA from 1 species
GUCCAACCUCAGCAAUUUCCAAAGCAUCUAUAUAUCAGAGAAAGCUGAGCAAAUAUUGAAAAAUUGUCCAACUUCACCACUACUAUACGGUACAUUGAAUCUGUUGGUAUUUUAUCAACGUGUUUGUUCGAUUUUGAGAAAUUUAAAACGGAUUUCAGAAAAUAGAAACAAGAACACAGAGAAUUUUUCACCCAUAAAGGGUCCGGAUGUUCAGUCACAAAGACCUACUCAGCCGUUUAGCAUCGACUGCGUGAUUAAGCUCUAGAUCCACUAAAUCUCCAAGAAACGUACAAAUGUAUGAAGAAAUUACAAAUUUCUUCAAGUUCCCUCUAGCCUCUCUAUUUGAAAUAUGGUAACACUAAAUCUUACACAAAGAUUUUGUAUACAACUCUAAACACCAAAUUGCAGAGAAAUCAUCACGAAGAUGAAUGGUUACCAAUUUUGAAAGAACCCUAGUUCACACACAGAUAGAACAAUCGAGAGAGAAAGAACAGAUCUACCGAAAAGUGAAGAGCCCAGAGUUAAAUACUCAAAACCAAUCGUCACAGAUCAAAGGCAGCCAAGAAGCCACGUGUACGGCAGAAGGCUUCACUUGAGGGAGGCAAAAACGUUAUUUGCAAGGACACGUUUUAGGUAAUGGGCCGGGUACUAAACCAAUUAGAUAGGCCCAGUUCUUUAGAAAUAGCGAGGCAGCCCAAAUAAUAACAAACUCCACCUUGAUGAGCUAUUUCUUGUUUAAUUAAUGGAUCUAGAGAUUGCACUACCUUCAUUUGCUCUCAUAACCUGUAAAAACAAAAAUUGAAAUUAGUUUGAAUUCUAUACAUGACUUAAGAUUCUAGUUUAUCACUAAUUGUCAAUCUUAUGAGAUAUUCAGAAUCAUUAAGCAGUUUUUGAACUUGUUUAAAGGAAGUAUCUUAGUACCUACAUCAGAGAGAUUAUAUUCAGUAGGGAUUUUAACUAAAGAAAUCAUACCUUUUUCAACCAUGUUCCUCACGAAGUGGAAUUUUAUGUCAACAUGCUUUGUUCUAUCAUGAUAUACUGGAUUUCUACUCAAAUGUAUAGCACUUUGGUUAUCAG